AAACAGAUAGGCAUCAUACAAAAACAUUUAUGGCAAGACAACAUCUUUAAGAAUCACGAACAUGUGUUCGUGUUUUCAUAAAAUACGAUUUGUAUUUUUGGUAUAGGAAAGCUCACCUUGAUCGCUUACUUUCCUUACUUGAAUCUCUUACUCCGACCUUACUUGCGGAGAUAACCUUUUGAAACAACACAACAGGAAAAAAAAUACUAAUUUAGUUUUAAACUAAUCUAAUUAAAUGAGAAAUAAAAUCUCAAGGUUUAACUUUAUUAUUCUUAUAAAAGUAUAGCACUUGGGUCACAAUUAAUUAUUUAAGCUAACCUAAUCAUUUCACCCUUAAGCCCAAAAAUUUAAAUUCGAAGGGGCCAUAUGCAUUGCUGCUCCAAAAAAAAUUAAAAGCACCAGGGCUCAGAUUUAUUUUGCAAAGCCUAAGCAUUUUUAUAAUGGCCCAAACCAUUUAUUUCAUUAGCCUAAAACUUAAGCUCAAACCAAAAAAAAGAACAAAAGUUAACCUAAGUCUUCUUCUUCCUCAUUUUUUUUUUAAAAAGAGCAGCAGCUCUCUCUCUCUCGCCUGGACUCCGCGCCGCCAGCCUCUCCGCCGCCGCUCCGGCGGUGCUUCUCUCUCCAGCCGCUCCUCUCUCAUCUCUCUCCCCCUCUCCUUCUUCUCUCCUCUCUCUCCCUCUCCCCUUCGCUCUCCACCCCUGCUGGUCCAGAUUCGCCGCACCGCCAGCACCGCUGCGGGUCUGCCGUCGCCGCGGGUUCCGCCCCGCCGUCACCUAGAAGCUCUCCCCCAGCCGCCAACGCCGAUUCCCGUCAGAUUUUUAAAGUUAUGAAAGCAGUGGCUUUGACGGUUGUCGCGACGGGUUGCCGAGCUUACUACCGAUCCGGCAGAUUUAUAGAGGAAAGCACCCGUUUCAAGCUCGUGGCUGUCCGCGUUGUAGUUCCCGAUCUUCUUUUAGAACGAAGGAUGUAUUAAAUUAAAUUUUAUUGGACUUUUAUCGGAUGUAUCAGAUCUAAUCACGUAAAAGUUACUUAUUUAGAUAAUCGAGCUAAUAAUAUAGUCACUUAAUAAUAUUGGCUUAGCGGGUCGUUACAGUGGUGAUGGGUGGUAUUUAUAGCCGAGUCCUUGGCUAGUGAGGGCUGAUCCUUGGGAGCUGGAUUCUCCAAAUCCAGUUAGGGGUUGCCUCCCCUUUCAUAUUUUCUUAAUAGGCUUCCAUACCUAUAUUGGUGAAAUUUUUGGGAGAGUGGCCCAUGGCUGAUCUCACUCUUUAUUUUGUCACUGAUGGAGGGAUUUGUUUCCCCUUUUUGAUCUCUUGAUGAGCUCAUUUCUCUUAUGCCACUUUGUUUCUUCCUAAGAUUGGAGGAGAUACUUUCUUCAAGAUUUAUUUCAUGCUUUUCCAUUUUCAUGAAUAAACUUUUUCCUUGGGUUUUGUUGAUGGAGGAAUCUAACCAUUUUUGGAAAUUUCCUUGGCAGGUGGAAGGACAACUCAUCCUAUCUCUAGGAGACUACAAAUUGACCUCUUGGCAUAGAGUGGUGUAUGGAAUCGAGAUGGGUGUGGAGGAAAUCCUCAAGGAUUUGUGUAGUUCAUAGCAAUUGUUUCUUGGCCCCAUUAUAGCUCUCUGUGUAGGAUACCUUUUGUAAAGUAGAUAUGUCUUCUUCCCCAAAAUUCUUAUGUAACCUUUUCCCAUGAAAGAUGGAUUUCUUCCUUGUAAAGUGUGUCUCUUGAAUUUCUUGUUUGGGAAAGAGUUAAAUGGACUUGCAAAUUCCCAUGCAUACAUAAACAUUAUACACAUCCAUACAUUCCCUUAUGUAUAUGUGUAGUAUAUCAUUUGAUAA